GCCGGAUUUGCCACCGCCUCCCUCGUUGACAGGCUUACAGCCAUGCAGGGUGUCACUCCCUUUCCAGGGCUGAAACCUUUGCUGGAGACAAGCAAAUGCUAUAAGGAUUGCAGCCUGAUCACAGAGCCAUAGCAAGGUACGCUGCAGUGCAGCCAAAGGCUCUGCCAAGGUGGAGAAACCAAACCUGUGUUGUAUUUCCUGAGGCUGAUCAGCACAGAUGAUCAGAUAAGAAUUAUUAUGCCAGCUAAAAGGGGGUGGGCAGCGGUAAACACACACUUUUUGUAUUAUAAGCGAAGGGGGAAUUCAGCAAAUGUAUUUUACAAGAAACAUCUGCAGUUUCCAGGCAAGCAGAUGCACCUUAACCAUUACUAUUUCUGAAGAAAGAUGUCUUUGGAGAAAAGGAAGACCCUCGUA